UAUGUAGCUUACUGUACAUAUGAUUCAAUACCACCUAUUUUCCUUUAGUAUUCGUUUAGAUAUAAACCUACAAAAUGUAUGACAGUCUUUAACCCAAGGCUCGAGUCGUUUUAUAAUUCAAUAAACAACUCGACUAUGGACGUGAAAGACUCUGAAGUAUUUUAAGCGCAGUCGUAAAGACGAAUCGAGUUCGUCAAUUUAGAAUCAAAAGACUCUAGUAGGAACAACACUAAUUCCGUCCAAACGUCCAUCAAAACUUCUUGCCGCGUUACCCGUUCAACUAUCCGAUUAAUCCAGUAGCUUCGAGGUGACCCACUAGAUUAAUAAACGUCACCUGCCCUCGUAAAGUCAAUGGAGUUAAUAUAUCAACGAACACGUCACGCACGCUUUCAUUUCAUAUAGUGCUCUUAAAUGAAUCGAUUUACGUGUGGCUUUUUCAAUUAGUGAAAACAUUCGGUUUUCAUUGUGUUUAUAGUGUAAUUGCUGGAUUAUCUAUCCAUCUUGACCUUUUUAAUGGGUGGCCAUCAGGGAAAUGAAUCGGCUCGACCGGCCGAACGGAAUGGGAGCAUUGUACAAGUGUUCUGUGCGAAAUUGCUUUCCGUUUUAAUGCUCGAAGUAUCAAGGUAUCCCCUACAAAUUAUUUUUCUGUACCAAGAAAAGUUUUGAGUUCCUCAUGUUUUCUAUCCGGCGAAGCUUCCCGAUCACAACUUAUGCUUACAAAAUGUAGAUUACAAACAAUAAUUAUUUUAUGAUAUGUAAUAAUGUAAGAUUACUUUAAGUAGGUAUAGACUUUACUGUAUGGUUACCCUGUUUGCAGACAAUACACAUGUGGGCCUGAAAGAUACAGACCUAGGUAAUCUGGAACAAAAAAUCAAGAGUAUCAUGAUAACGCUUGGAAAAUGGUUUAAUGCUAACGGAAUUAUUUUAAACUCUAGCAAAACUACACUAUUGACAUACCAUACCAUAAUUAAAAUAAAAUUGACAGCAUAAACAUUAGUGACAUAGGAUUAACAAAUGUAACUAACACAAUAUUUCUGGGAUAUCACAUUGGCAAUAAAAUAAACCACUCAUUU